rnacentral:rRNA from 1 species
ACUCAUUAAAAGAGUGCGUAAUAGCUCACUGGUCGAGUGACUCUGCGCGGAAAAUAUAACGGGGCUAAGUAUGCAACCGAAGCUUGGGAUUGUCUAAAGACAGUGGUAGGGGAGCGUCGUGUAUGGGGUGAAGUCGCAUCGGAAGGAGCGGUGGACUGUACACGAGUGAGAAUGCCGGAAUGAGUAGCGAGAAUUAUGUGGGAAUCAUAAUGGCCGAAAAUCUAAGGUUUCUUGGGGAAGGUUCGUCCGCCCAAGGUAAGCCGGGAGCUAAGGCGAGGCCGCAAGGCGUAGUCGAUGCACAUACGGUAAAGAUUCCGUAGCCGCCGAACUUUAAGUCAGAGGGACACUUGCAGAUAGCGGAACCCAGCCGUUGGUUGAGCUGGGCGAAAGGGACUGAAAUUAGUAGGGAAGUCCGCGAUGCUGAAAGGCGAGAAAAGCUCUGAUGGAUACUAAGGCGCCCGUACCGCAAACCGACACAGGUAGAUGAGGAGAGAAUCCUAAGGCCAACGGGAGAAGGGUUGUUAAGGAACUCGGCAAAUUGACCCCGUAACUUCGGAAGAAGGGGAGCCCCGAAAGGGGCCGCAGUGAAUAGGCCCAAGCAACUGUUUACCAAAAACACAGGUUUAUGCUAAAUCGAAAGAUGACGUAUAUGAGCUGACGCCUGCCCGGUGCCGGAAGGUUAAGAGGAGAGCUUAGAGGCAACUCGAAGGUUUGAAUUGAAGCCCCGGUAAACGGCGGCCGUAACUAUAACGGUCCUAAGGUAGCGAAAUUCCUUGUCAGGUAAGUUCUGACCCGCACGAAUGGCGUAAUGAUUUGGGCACUGUCUCAACAGCCCGCCCGGCGAAAUUGUAGUACUGGUGAAGAUGCCAGUUACCCGCAACUAGACGGAAAGACCCCAUGGAGCUUUACUGCAGUUUAAUACUGGGAAUCGGUAAUGCAUGUACAGGAUAGGUGGGAGACUAGGAAGCAUGGUCGUCAGGUCAUGUGGAGUCACCGGUGGGAUACCACUCUUGUAUUGCUGAUUUCCUAACCUGCGGCCGUGAAUCCGGUCGGGGGACACUGUUAGACGGGCAGUUUGACUGGGGCGGUCGCCUCCAAAAGAGUAACGGAGGCGCUCAAAGGUUCGUUCAGCACGGACGGAAAUCGUGCAUUGAGUG